GUCAGCGACUUAUAUUCUGUAGCAAGGUUAACCGUAUAGGGGAGCCGUAGGGAAACCGAGUCUUAACCGGGCGUUAAGUUGCAGGGUAUAGACCCGAAACCCGGUGAUCUAGCCAUGGGCAGGUUGAAGGUUGGGUAACACUAACUGGAGGACCGAACCGACUAAUGUUGAAAAAUUAGCGGAUGACCUGUGGCUGGGGGUGAAAGGCCAAUCAAACCGGGAGAUAGCUGGUUCUCCCCGAAAGCUAUUUAGGUAGCGCCUCGUGAAUUCAUCUCCGGGGGUAGAGCACUGUUUCGGCUAGGGGGCCAUCCCGGCUUACCAACCCGAUGCAAACUGCGAAUACCGGAGAAUGUUAUCACGGGAGACACACGGCGGGUGCUAACGUCCGUCGUGAAGAGGGAAACAACCCAGACCGCCAGCUAAGGUCCCAAAGUCAUGGUUAAGUGGGAAACGAUGUGGGAAGGCCCAGACAGCCAGGAUGUUGGCUUAGAAGCAGCCAUCAUUUAAAGAAAGCGUAAUAGCUCACUGGUCGAGUCGGCCUGCGCGGAAGAUGUAACGGGGCUAAACCAUGCACCGAAGCUGCGGCAGCGAACGUAUCACUUAAAGCGAUUCAGCGGGUUACGAUU
rnacentral:rRNA from 1 species